UUUGCUAAUUAUUAUGCUAUCCCUUAAUAACCCUGAGCAAUCUCACCUGGGCUCCCCACAAUUGCUCAUGGCUCUAUUUAAUUAAGCUCAGGCCAAGGCUCUCAGCUCUUUCUUGCCUUUGGUGCAGCCAUGCUCAUCUCCAGCAUCACCUCUGGUCACAUCACUAGGAUAGACAUCAGCUAUGCAGUGCAGGGUCCUCCAACAGACAGUGGGCAGAGAAGUGUUGUGAUGACUCUCCUCCCUGGCCUCAUCAGUCCUGUAAUGUGUGCAAGGAGUCGUGCUGGUCUGCAGACCUCGUAUGGCAUCAUUCAGUGACCACAUCCCAUAGUGCUGAGCAUCGUGCCUGUGGAGUGGAGGAGAUAUCAGAGGUAACACUGAUCUGUGGAGGAUGCUGGGCACCCCAUGUGCGCUCGUAUCCAUAGCUGAGCACUGCAGAGCCGUUUCAUCACCGUAAGUGGAAACGUUUCAAACCUGAAGCAUCUUUUUGUUUUGUCCAGAAAUCCCUCAAGAUCAUGGCAGCACUUGUUGUGUUUCGAUACCAUCUCAGCCCCUCACCUUGGAAACAGAUGUUUCCCUUGGGCACAGCACACGCUUUAUGUGGUUCCCUUGACAAGAACCACAUUCACCAGAGAAUUUACAUCCCCAUUAUCCGGGUGGCACAAUAACUGCAUGGGAUGGUUUGGAUAAUUCUGUGUAAUCACUGAGGUUGGUGACCUCCAACACCAUCCAGUCCUAAUGUCCACCCAGCCACAAGGCCAUAGGACUUAUUCCAGUCCAGUUACAGGUACUGUAGGGGGGUGAGAUACACCACAACUGCUCUAAGUGUGAAAUACAUGGAUAGAAACAGCCAUUUUCUAGCUGCAGAAGCCAUCAUUUGUGAUAAUCCUAUAGCAACACCACUGGGCAAUCAUGCCACCAAAAUGGUUAGCUCUGAAGGCAUACAAAUAUUAAUCUGAAAACUACAACAAGUGAAUUCAAAGCAAGUAAAGCAGCAAUGAAAUGCAGCAGUGCAGCCUUGCACUGAGCUCAAACUGCUCUGCUGCCCGCAAUAUCUGUAACCACAGCAGGAUCCUGGCUUCCCAAUGCUGCCUCCUUUCAGCAGAAGCUUUGCUGGUUUAGUUUUGCACGUGAGGAGAACUUUGUGGGGAAUCUAUCUGCUGUCUUUGUGAGGCUCCAUCCCCCUGUUCCCCCUGGUGUGGGCUCACGGCAUGCUGUGAUGUGACAGGUGCCAUUGGCAGACCCCACUGCAGCACCAUCUGCUUUGUGAUGGGGCACCACGUUCAGGGCUGGUUUCUGAGCUGAGCAGCCUGCAGGGCUGCUUUGAACUCUCCAUCCUCCCCAGCACCUCCGGCAGUCUGAUGUACCCCAUGCUGAGGUGGGAGCAGGAGGAAGGUUGGGUUUGGCAGUGGGAGGCAGCAGCUGCCUGUAAGCACUGCUCUGCUGCCCGCAUGAAGUGAGGAAGGCAGAAGUGCUUUCAUUUCUUUCCUUGACUAAUCUGAAGGGAUGUAUCUGGAAUAGACAGAAGUGUGAACUAUGGCAGCACUUCUGUAGUUUCCAAGGGCCAUUCUUCCCUGGGUUAAUCUAUCAGAGCAAAUGCCUCAGUUGUGCUGGGUGAAAAGAGGAUGAUGUUGAUGAUUAGCACAGAAGGUGGGCAGCAAGGCUCUUAUUCAUGGCUCUGACACUCACAGUGCCAGGGUCUUCAAUGGCAGCGUUACCCCCAUUUUCCCAGCACUUGCUGUUGGCUCAGUGACACCUCCCACACUGGGACCCUUUCAGUCCACUGGCUUUCUCCAUCCACUUUCCCACUCCUUCAGCAGAAGGCAGGCAGUGCCAGCAUGGUGUUUCCCACUUCUGUGGCUCCCUCCUAGCCCCAGCAGGCAGCCCCAGCCCUCCCCAUUCCCCAGGAGGACCCCAGUUUUACUCCUCCCAAAGAUGGAGCUGGGAGGUGGAAACUGGAUCCUAUUGGACCUCAUCCCCACGGCACUCUCCUUUUUCCCCCUUUUUUCUCUUCUUUUAAUUGCCCAGCACCGCCGUUGUCUCCUCACUGUCCUUUGAGACCUACAAAGCAUUUCCUGCUCGUGGUCACUUCUCUGUGCUGUAUCUGUUUUGUGUUGAGCUAAUUAAAAUGUUUCCUUCUGCAGAGCAUGGUGAACUGCCUUACCCUGUAUCCAGACGCUGAUCCUCGGGGCAUGACUCUCUUUUUGUUUUCACUGAGAAUGUCUGUCUUCAUUUACAUCACCCGUUUAACCCUUGCAGUGCUGUGGCCUCCCGAGGGCCUGGCCCACAGCCCAGAAAUGGUGGGAUUCACCCCACUCUUCUCAGCAAAAUCUGCCUUAUUUUACUCUUAUAAGAGGAACAGUUUUGCUCGCAAGGAAACCUCAGUCUGAUGAUGGAGGGCUGUAGGAAUGCUGCUCUUUGGACUCCUGAUCUCCCCUUAGCAAGAGGCUCACGCUUUAAUAGAAUUGCUAGGUGCAAUGGAGAGCGUGGUAAAGAGAUACGAGGAAAAUCUUGAUGAGAUGCUGCAUUGUCCUCUGGGCCAAUGCAUGGAGAUUCACAGGUUGUUUUCACUCAGGAGCAGAAGGUGGUGCUGGAGGUGGCUGUGCCUUUGAUGCAGCCCUGUUUAUUUACAAAGCGUGGUUAAGGAAAAAAAAGAAGAGUCCUGUUUCCCUGAACCACACGGGAAUCCAACAACAGGACUCAGUUUAUUUGCCUACACUUCCAGAAUGCCUUCCAGUCAGCACCCAGCCCCACAGCUUCCUUUCUUUGCCUUUGGACACCACUUGCAGUGCUCCCAGCUGCCCUCCCUGGCCCUGCAGCAUGAAGCCCUCCUUUCACCCCAUGCCAUGCCCACUGUCUUGCUCUGCACUGCUUCCUCUGCAGUCCCUUUGCUCAUAGCCCUGUUGAACUUUCACCUCUGUUUAUCCAAAAACCAUGGGCUCUUUUUUUUUUUUUCCUUUGCAUGCAUUAGCAUCAACGUGGCUCAUCCAGCUGCCAGCACCGCAGCACAGAUGCCUGUUUCAGCUUUUGCAAGCUCAACCUCAGUGCAAGAGCAGCUGGUUUCCUUGUAGGUCUGCAUCCAUGGGAAUUAGCAGGGCAGGAGGCAACCUGUGCAUUGCUCUAGUGUGAGGAUUUGUGCCCUGCAUUCAUGUACUGGAUGGGGUACAUAAAGCAGGGCUUUUUUCUCUCUAAUUGCAUUAUUUGGGGUGUGAAGGAUGGUUUGAGGCUCCGUUCUGACAGGGGUGGGUGUGGGCGGCUGCAGCCUCAUCUGCUCCAUCAAUCUGACUGCCCUUCUCAGCAGCUACAUCCCCACAGCACCCCUUGGUGUGCAGUGUGAGGCAGCACUGCGUGCAGCCGUGCCACAGUGCAGAGUGAUGGAGCAACACGCUGCACCAGUGUGUGAAAGUAAACGUGAUACCUAAAUGAUGAUAGCUAAAAAGAAAGAAAUAGGUGCAUAAGAUGAUGUGGAAGCAUGAGAUGCACAGAGAAAGCAAUCUGCUGCAUUGCUAUGUUGUUGCUCAAGGCUUAGGGACCAGUCAGUGCCCCUCAAUUUCACUUGCUAAGAUCAAGAGACUGAUUUUCUACAGAACCAAGCCAAACUGCUACAAAUGAUUCUGAAACUUUCCUUGCUGCUAGGGUCAACUCAGGCUAAUUUGGCUCUGAGGCUGCGUGCAUCUUUACCACCUCUUGUGGGACUGAGCUCAGAAGAUGGUGCAUUAGAGGAAACCUUGCAGAGCCACUGUCUGUUCUUGGGAAUACAGAGAUCCUCUUUUCAAGGAGAGAAUUUGCCUUUUGUACAAGGCAGCAGGCUUCCCUUCCCUGAGACUAAAUCAGGUCCUUAUUUAUGGAGGAGGUGCAAUGUGGGAAGGAGCAGAGUCUGUGCAUGCAUUUGACCUGGAGAGACCUCCUGAGGGCUGGGUGUGAGCUCCAGGAGCUGUUCUCACCCCCCCCAGCCCCAUGGAUGGGGUGCCUCACUGGUGUCUUGCUUGUGACCCUGGGCCGUGAGACUGAGAGCAGUUAUCCAUAUACAAGUGGCCAGCAGCACUCAGACAGCAGUGAAUGCAGGUCCAAAGAUAUGGCUUGAGCCAAGGUUAGUUGCAGCCUGCACAGAUGCAUUAGAAAUACCAGCAUACAGUGAAUAUGAUCAUUGAGAACCUAGUCCAUUGACUCAGGAAAUCUUACACCUUUCCUACCCAAAGCCAUGGGGUUGGACUCCAUGGUCUUUAUGAGUCCCUUCCAACUCGAGAUGGUCUAUGAUUGUACCCUCCUUUGCUGCUCCCUUUCCCUGGGAGCUGGAUGAAGCUUUGGCUGAAACUGCCUUAAUUCCUGAUCUCAUGUGAGGCCACAGGCAGGAGGAGGAUAACCAUCUUACAGCAGGGAGUGCACCCUCCCCUGCUGCAGGGCCUUGCUGCAAUAAUGGAAAGCACAGUGCUUUCCAUUUUCUGUCUCACUGCAACACUUUGCAAUGCAAGUGAGUGGAUAACAGCAUUCAGGCAUUGGUUCUGUUUGUGUCCCAGCACAGCUCAUAGAAUCAUACAAUUCUUAAGGUUGGAUAAGACCUCUAAUAUCAUCUACCCCAACUGUCCCCUUAUCACCAAUACUGCUCACUAAACUACGUCCCUAAGUGCUACACCUUCCCUUUCCUCAAAUGCUUCCAGGGCCUCCACCAUUCCCUGGGCAGCCUGUACCAGUGCAACACCACUCUUUCUGUCCUAACAUCCAAUCUGCUGCUCCCCAUUGCAACUUGAGGCCUUUCCCUUUCGUCCUAUAGCUGUUACCUGGGAGCAGAGGCUGAUCCCACCUCGACACAACCUCCUUUUGGGGAGCUGGAGAGAGCAAUUCUACAACUUAAAGAAAGCUGGAGAGAGCAACUUCCUCUCUCCAGAAUCUAAUGGCUGAUUUCUAUCAGCUGCCCUAACCCCAGCCAGGCAGGAGUCUCAUUUUCAGUCUCAAAGGAUUAAAAUGAAAUGCAGCUCAGCUUCCCCCACCCUUCCUCCCUGCCAUGUUUUCAGGAGUGUCUUUCGAAUUGAAUAGGCUUUGAACCCCCUGAAAUAGCAAGGUUAGCUUCCUGCCUGUUUUAUUUUGGCUUUCAGUAAGGGAAAGAAGAUGAAAAAGUGCUAUGGGGGGGAAUAUCCUUAUCACCAACAUGUGAACUUUGCACUUCCCAUCGCGUGGGUUUUACCAUCCUGCUCAGACAGGAGAGCAGUGCUGCAGCACACAAUUGUCCCCUCUUAAAGACAGAUUAAGGGCUCUCAUUUAAAACAAGCAACAAAACAAUCCUUGCAAACUCUUCUUUGUACUGUAAAUCCUAUUGACUCUAAACGGCUGUAUCUUUAGAUUGUUAUAAGUCUGCUGUUGAGCAUUCACUUUGCUCCUGGCAGAGGUAUUUUUAUCUGCUCAGAGCUGUACUCGAUUUCUUUUUCCUGUGGAAUUUUGCCACUGAGUUUAAAAGGAGUCAAUUUGAGCCAUAAAUGGAAGCCAAAGUGAGAAAUAAAAUGCUGCACUUUUGCAGGAUAAGAAAUGCAACUCAUUUCCUACUUUUUAAUAUAACCUAUAGGAACCAGAUCUCACAGCACGUGUAUCACUGCAAGCUGAAAGCCACGUUUAUACACAGCCCUUUCUUCAGCUCAUAUUCAAGUGUUCUUACAACCCUGACUUCAAGCACUGAAACAAAACCCUCGGAACGGCAGAUUCACAAAUCUGCACCAAACGCCGGGGGAUGGAAAAACCCUCAACGUGUCAACUGCAGUGACACGACGGCAAUUACGUUGUGAUUGAGGACAGCUUCCCCAGCAGCAGUUGGGACACGGAGCUGCUCCACUCCUUCCCAACAAGUCAGAAACGGACACAAACCUUCAUUUCUUCCCCUCAAAUCACAGCACGGCUCUCGGAGGAAGAUCCGUCCGACAAAACUCGGCUAUUCCGCAUUGAAACGCACCGCUCAGCGCCGCCCGCGAGCUUCGUGCCCGGCUUUGUCUGAGCUGGCAGAGUUCAGAAAAGGCCCCAAUCGUUUCUCGGUGCUGACACGCGAUGGGGAUGGGAAGGCUCUGUGCUGAGC